rnacentral:rRNA from 1 species
ACAUACGACCAUAGGGUGUGGAAAACAGGGCUUCCCGUCCGCUCAGCCGUACUUAAGCCACACGCCGGUGAGUUAGUAGUUGGGUGGGUGACCACCAGCGUAUCCUCACUGUUGUAUGUU